rnacentral:rRNA from 1 species
UACGGAGGGUGCAAGCGUUAUCCGGAAUUACUGGGCGUAAAGGGCGCGUAGGCGGCUCGAUCAGUCAGAUGUGAAAUUCCACGGCUCAACCGUGGAGCUGCAUUUGAAACUGUCGGACUCGAGCAUAGUUAGGGAAAACGGAAUUCCACGUGUAGCGGUGAAAUGCGUAGAUAUGUGGAAGAACACCGGUGGUGAAGACGGUUUUCUGGGCUAUAGCUGACGCUGAGGCGCGAAAGCUAGGGGAGCAAACAGG